rnacentral:rRNA from 1 species
UUUGAUCCUGGCUCAGAUUGAACGCUGGCGGCAUGCUUUACACAUGCAAGUCGAACGGUAACGCGGGGGCCACCCUGGCGACGAGUGGCGAACGGCUGAGUAAUACAUCGGAACAUGUCCUGCAGUGGGGGAUAGCCCGGCGAAAGCCGGAUUAAUACCGCAUACGCUCUGAGGAGGAAAGCGGGGGACCCGCAAGGGCCUCGCGCUGCAGGAGUGGCCGAUGUCGGAUUAGCUAGUUGGGGGGGUAAAGGCCCACCAAGGCGACGAUGCGUAGCUGGUCUGAGAGGAUGAUCAGCCACACUGGGACUGAGACACGGCCCAGACUCCUACGGGAGGCAGCAGUGGGGAAUUUUGGACAAUGGGGGCAACCCUGAUCCAGCCAUGCCGCGUGAGUGAAGAAGGCCUUCGGGUUGUAAAGCUCUUUCGGACGGAACGAAAUGGUUACGGUGAAUAUCCGUGACUGAUGACGGUACUGUAAGAAGAAGCACCGGCUAACUACGUGCCAGCAGCCGCGGUAAUACGUAGGGUGCGAGCGUUAAUCGGAAUUACUGGGCGUAAAGCGUGCGCAGGCGGCCGCGCAAGUCAGGUGUGAAAUCCCCGGGCUUAACCUGGGAAUUGCGCUUGAAACUAUGCGGCUUGAGUGUGGCAGAGGGGGGUGGAAUUCCACGUGUAGCAGUGAAAUGCGUAGAGAUGUGGAGGAACACCGAUGGCGAAGGCAGCCCCCUGGGCCAAC